UACGUAGGGUGCGAGCGUUGUCCGGAAUUAUUGGGCGUAAAGAGCUCGUAGGCGGUCUGUCGCGUCGGUCGUGAAAACUUGGGGCUUAACCCUGAGCUUGCGGUCGAUACGGGCAUGACUGGAGUUCGGUAGGGGAGACUGGAAUUCCUGGUGUAGCGGUGAAAUGCGCAGAUAUCAGGAGAACACCGUGGCGAAGGCGGGCUCUCGUCGG
rnacentral:rRNA from 1 species